AGAAUAUAGAUAAGACACUUA
rnacentral:miRNA from 1 species